CUUUGAUUGUGAAACAGGCCCAGGCCCAUCUCUCCAUCAACCCUCUUCCUGUCGUCACUUCGUCUUCCUCACACCCCUGCGAUCUCCCCGAUGAGAUCCUCAAAUUUCAGUCGGCGGCGUUGAUCAGUAACGUCUCCCCUUUCAAUUAAUCACCUCUUUACUCCGGCUUUAAUCGUUUCAUCCAACCCGACUUAAAAAUACCUCUUUGUCUUCCUUAAAAACCCAAAGAAGGCUUCCCUAUAAAUAUCGGUCUCCUCCUGCUGCAAUGAGCGCACCUCACACAAUAUCAGAAAGGACUCUUAUUCCCAGCAAUCGAUUUCCAUGUCUUCAUACACUCUGCUUGCUGAUCUCAGAGCCGGCCGAUGCUCUAACACCGCCGAUGUGCGUCUGCUGCAUUUUUGGGAGGCCAGAAAUAUCACCAGUGGAGACCUCAUCAGAAAUAUCAUCGAUGAGAAUGAACGAACUGCUACAAGACCCUUCAUGGAACUUGCAUAACUAAAGCUCUUAAAAAGCCUAAGCCCCACAAAUUUAGAAUCUUCGACGUUGGUACCGAGAAAGGUAGGUCGGUGAAGGAGAUUGUUUAAGUCGUCUUGCAAGAACCAUGAGAAGGAAUUUAACUGGAGCAAGAGUUCCUUAUGCUUUGAAUUUCUCAAUGUUAACAGAAAAUCAUCAUUACAUCCAGCAGUCCCACUUCAAGAGUAACUUAUCCGAAGGCUUUAGCUUCAAACCUCUACGUCGUAUGGUCCACCAAAGAUUGUUCUUUUUAUAUGAUUGCAACUUGGCUUGAACUAUAAAAUAUCCUUGCUUCUACAAGUAAAUCCAAUCAAAAUCAUAUGAAUUUCAACUUAUUUAUUGGCUUCAGGGUACCUCCUUUGCAGGGCCUUGGAUGGAAGACAAAAGUAUAUCUUCCUGGUGGAUGGUGGACUUAGGCGAAGAUCACCAGCUUAUGUGCAACUACUACACUUUCAGACGAUGGGUCAAGAGCAUACGCUAGGUCCUGGAGUUUCAGAUUGAGAAAACUGUCCUUUUCAUGUUGGAACAACAAGGGUUGCUCGCAGGAAAACUAGCCACACUGAGGGAACGCAUGAUGAUGUACUUGCGCAGCCAGACAUAUCAAAAUUGUUCACCUACGAGAAUCAUAAAGAGAUGUUGGAAGAGAUCUUCUACAACUUCUGGUAUUCGUUGAGUUGAACGCCAUUGGUCUGCGCAAGAUAUUUAAGAAAUUUGGCAAACGCUUUGGUUAAAGAUUCGCCGACUACUACGUGUAAGCCCGUGUUUUUUUGACGUCCAAGCCAGCCAAUUUCACGACGGCGGUGGGUGUGGAGCCAGCAUUAACCCCAAAAUCGAAGGUGAUUACCAUCUUCUUUCCAGACUCCGGAGUGGACUUUUGUUCUGUAACUAAUUUCGUAUAACUUCUAUGCCAAGCAUUAACCACUAGCAUUAACCCAAAAAAUCUCUGGUUGUGAUUCUUCUUCUACCACUAUAGAAUCUUAACAAUGGCAACCAUUAUGGGGCUGUGAAAAACUGUAAAUGCGAGUUCAAUAAAGCACAUCACUGAUAUAAUU